rnacentral:rRNA from 1 species
UACGGAGGAUGCGAGCGUUAUCCGGAUUUAUUGGGUUUAAAGGGUGCGUAGGCGGGCUUUUAAGUCAGCGGUAAAAAUUCGGGGCUCAACCCCGUCCGGCCGUUGAAACUGGGGGCCUCGAGUGGGCGAGAAGAAGGCGGAAUGCGUGGUGUAGCGGUGAAAUGCAUAGAUAUCACGCAGAGCCCCGAUUGCGAAGGCAGCCUUCCGGCGCCCUACUGACGCUGAGGCACGAAAGUGCGGGGAUCGAACAGG